rnacentral:rRNA from 1 species
AUGCAUGCUGGCGGCGUGCCUCAUACAUGCCAGUCGAGCGAACGGACGAGAAGCUUGCUUCUCUGAUGUUAGCGGCGGACGGGUGAGUAACACGUGGAUAACCUACCUAUAAGACUGGGAUAACUUCGGGAAACCGGAGCUAAUACCGGAUAAUAUUUUGAACCGCAUGGUUCAAAAGUGAAAGACGGUCUUGCUGUCACUUAUAGAUGGAUCCGCGCUGCAUUAGCUAGUUGGUAAGGUAACGGCUUACCAAGGCAACGAUGCAUAGCCGACCUGAGAGGGUGAUCGGCCACACUGGAACUGAGACACGGUCCAGACUCCUACGGGAGGCAGCAGUAGGGAAUCUUCCGCAAUGGGCGAAAGCCUGACGGAGCAACGCCGCGUGAGUGAUGAAGGUCUUCGGAUCGUAAAACUCUGUUAUUAGGGAAGAACAUAUGUGUAAGUAACUGUGCACAUCUUGACGGUACCUAAUCAGAAAGCCACGGCUAACUACGUG